CCUACGGGGGGCAGCAGUGGGGAAUAUUGCACAAUGGGGGAAACCCUGAUGCAGCGACGCCGCGUGAGUGAAGAAGUAUUUCGGUAUGUAAAGCUCUAUCAGCAGGGAAGAAGAAAGACGGUACCUGACUAAGAAGCCCCGGCUAACUACGUACCAGCAGCCGCGGGAAUACGUAGGGGGCAAGCGUUAUCCGGAUUUACUGGGUGUAAAGGGAGCGUAGACGGCUGUGCAAGUCUGAAGUGAAAGCCCAGGGUUCAACCCUGGGACUGCUUUGGAAACUGUGGAGCUAGAGUGCUGGAGAGGUAAGUGGAAUGCCUAGUGUAGCGGUGAAAUGCGUAGAUAUUAGGAGGAACACCAGUGGCGAAGGCGGCUUACUGGACAGUAACUGACGUUGAGGCUCGAAAGCGUGGGGAGCAAACAGGAUUAGAUACCCGUGUAGUC
rnacentral:rRNA from 1 species